GACGAACGCUGGCGGCGUGCUUAACACAUGCAAGUCGAACGGAAAGGCCCUGCUUUUGUGGGGUGCUCGAGUGGCGAACGGGUGAGUAACACGUGAGUAACCUGCCCUUGACUUUGGGAUAACUUCAGGAAACUGGGGCUAAUACCGGAUAGGAGCUCCUGCUGCAUGGUGGGGGUUGGAAAGUUUCGGCGGGUGGGGAUGGACUCGCGGCUUAUCAGCUUGUUGGUGGGGUAGUGGCUUACCAAGGCUUUGACGGGUAGCCGGCCUGAGAGGGUGACCGGCCACAUUGGGACUGAGAUACGGCCCAGAAUCCUACGGGAGGCAGCAGUGGGGAAUAUUGCACAAUGGGCGGAAGCCUGAUGCAGCAACGCCGCGUGCGGGAUGACGGCCUUCGGGUUGUAAACCGCUUUCGCCUGUGACGAAGCGUGAGUGACGGUAAUGGGUAAAGAAGCACCGGCUAACUACGUGCCAGCCGCCGCGGUAAGAC
rnacentral:rRNA from 1 species